rnacentral:tRNA from 7 species
UCGGUUCGACUCCGAUAGCGGGCUU